rnacentral:rRNA from 1 species
AUUGAACGCUGGCGGCAGGCCUAACACAUGCAAGUCGAGCGGCAGCGGGAAAGUAGCUUGCUACUUUUGCCGGCGAGCGGCGGACGGGUGAGUAAUGCCUGGGGAUCUGCCCAGUCGAGGGGGAUAACUACUGGAAACGGUAGCUAAUACCGCAUACGCCCUACGGGGGAAAGCAGGGGACCUUCGGGCCUUGCGCGAUUGGAUGAACCCAGGUGGGAUUAGCUAGUUGGUGAGGUAACGGCUCACCAAGGCGACGAUCCCUAGCUGGUCUGAGAGGAUGAUCAGCCACACUGGAACUGAGACACGGUCCAGACUCCUACGGGAGGCAGCAGUGGGGAAUAUUGCACAAUGGGGGAAACCCUGAUGCAGCCAUGCCGCGUGUGUGAAGAAGGCCUUCGGGUUGUAAAGCACUUUCAGCGAGGAGGAAAGGUCAGUAGCUAAUAUCUGCUGGCUGUGACGUUACUCGCAGAAGAAGCACCGGCUAACUCCGUGCCAGCCGCCGCCGUAA